rnacentral:rRNA from 1 species
GAUGAACGCUGGCGGCGUGCGUAAUACAUGCAAGUCGAGCGAAUGGAUUAAGAGCUUGCUCUUAUGAAGUUAGCGGCGGACGGGUGAGUAACACGUGGGUGACCUGCCCAUAAGACUGGGAUAACUCCGGGAAACCGGGGCUAAUACCGGAUAACAUUUUGAACCGCAUGGUUCGAAAUUGAAAGGCGGCUUCGGCUGUCACUUAUGGAUGGACCCGCGUCGCAUUAGCUAGUUGGUGAGGUAACGGCUCACCAAGGCAACGAUGCGUAGCCGACCUGAGAGGGUGAUCGGCCACACUGGGACUGAGACACGGCCCAGACUCCUACGGGAGGCAGCAGUAGGGAAUCUUCCGCAAUGGACGAAAGUCUGACGGAGCAACGCCGCGUGAGUGAUGAAGGCUUUCGGGUCGUAAAACUCUGUUGUUAGGGAAGAACAAGUGCUAGUUGAAUAAGCUGGCACCUUGACGGUACCUAACCAGAAAGCCACGGCUAACUACGUGCCAGCAGCCGCAGUAA